rnacentral:lncRNA from 1 species
UUUGAUUUUAUAAACGGCACAUGCGCGAUAACUAAUCGUUCUUUUAUAAAUUAUAAGACAUUAUAUCAUAAAAAAAGAAAGAUUAUAAGAUGCUUUCACACGUCUAUAGAAAAUGGAACAAUACACAACCAAACACAUAAUGAUAAAACAAUAGUGCUUAAGAAAUGUCAAAAAAAAACAAAAAGUGUGGCAUAUACAGAUAGUGCAGCACAAACGGAUGACAUAGCACAAAUAAACGCAGGAGCAAAAGUGAGUGGUUUAUCCCACAUAUCCUCUGUUCUAAGUUAUCAGUCAUCUGACGGUUUAGUUAAGAAUUUUCGUGAAGAAGCAAAAAUAAAAUUAUUUAAAGAAAACUUAAAAAAAUAUAAUUUUUUUAAUAUUUAUUUUGAUAAAAUAACUAAACCAAUUAGCAAAUUAGAAAAAAUAAAAAAACAAAAAAUUGUUAAUAUAAAUAGUGUUAUACAUUUUGAUAAUUACAUUCAGGAAUUUAAUUUAGAUUCUUUAUUAAUAUAUACAAAAAAUAAAUUUGAACAAUUUAAAAAAAUAAAAGAUAUACAAUUAAAGAAUAAUUUCUUUUUUACAUUUUUUAACAUAUUUAUUCAAUUUAAUAAAAUACUAAGUCACUUUUUUUACUAUCAAAAUGAUAAGGAAUACAAACAAAAUUUCAUUUACACAUUUCAAUUUUGCAUAGACCACAUAAAUCUAAAUCGAAAUAAAAACAAAAUUAUACAUACAUAUGAUGAUACAUUUUUUAUUAACAUAUUACAAUUUAUAAAAAUAUUUAAUAAAGUUGACUUUUUUAGUACUUUCAAAAGUGUAAAUGUUUAUGAUUUAAAGCAUUAUUUAGAAGUGUAUAAUAGGACAUGUGCACAAGUAUGUAAUAGAGCAAGUACACAAAUAUGUAACGAAAAGGUUGAUAGUGGAAGGUCAUUUUAUGAUUAUAUGAGUAGUAGUGGUGGUAGUACUACUGAGUGUGAAAAAGAUGGUUCAACUUUUAUAGCUAGUUUAAAACUAUUUAAUGACAAAUUAACGGAAACUAUAAAUGAUGAAAGUGUAUCUUUC